AUGAGAGGGAGAUAUGUGAGGAAGAAGAGGCGGCGCUGCGAGGAGGCUGCGCCAACAGCGUGCGCCUACCACGAGGCGGCAGGCGUGCUGCGCGGGAACAGCACGCGCACCAACUUCGCUGCACGGCACGGCGCCGCAGCCAGGCUGAGUAAGAGGCAGUACGUCGUGGCGAGGGCGGCCGCGGGCAGGUCGUCGUCGGCGUGCGGUGCCGGGGUGGGCGACCAGUUUGCGCUCGUCGCUGUGUUACGGGACUGGCAGCAGCCGGCGCUCUCGCCGCAGCUGUCCCUAGGCUGCCGCGCCAAGGCAGAGACCGUGCACGUGGCGGCCAACUCGGUGCAGCCCAGCUUCGUCGUGCCGAGCCGAGCGGAGGCGCCGCCGCCGUCGGUAACAGUGGGAGAAGCUGGAGACGAUCUUUGGGCCACCGACGUUUUGGAGUUGGACGGCAGCACGGAGACGAGCGCAAAGAAGGCGUUUAAGGUGUUAUCGUCUGUGAUCGUGCCGUCCAAGUUCGGUGCACCGCCGGAGUCGUUUGGCCUCGACGGUUUGUAG
rnacentral:rRNA from 1 species